AUUGAACGCUGGCGGCAUGCUUUACACAUGCAAGUCGAACGGUAACAGGCCGCAAGGUGCUGACGAGUGGCGAACGGGUGAGUAAUGCAUCGGAACGUGCCCAGUCGUGGGGGAUAACGCAGCGAAAGCUGUGCUAAUACCGCAUACGAUCUAUGGAUGAAAGCGGGGGACCGUAAGGCCUCGCGCGAUUGGAGCGGCCGAUGUCAGAUUAGGUAGUUGGGGGGGUAAAGGCUCACCAAGCCAACGAUCUGUAGCUGGUCUGAGAGGACGACCAGCCACACUGGGACUGAGACACGGCCCAGACUCCUACGGGAGGCAGCAGUGGGGAACUUUGGACAAUGGGCGCAAGCCUGAUCCAGCAAUGCCGCGUGCAGGAAGAAGGCCUUCGGGUUGUAAACUGCUUUUGUACGGAACGAAACGGCGAGCUCUAAUACAGUUUGCUAAUGACGGUACCGUAAGAAUAAGCACCGGCUAACUACGUGCCAGCCGCCGUAACAC
rnacentral:rRNA from 1 species